rnacentral:rRNA from 1 species
UACAGAGGUCUCAAGCGUUGUUCGGAUUCAUUGGGCGUAAAGGGUGCGUAGGCGGCGCGGUAAGUCGGGUGUGAAAUCUUGGAGCUUAACUCCGAAACUGCAUUCGAUACUGCCGUGCUUGAGGACUGGAGAGGAGACGUGGAAUUUACGGUGUAGCGGUGAAAUGCGUAGAUAUCGUAAGGAAGACCAGUGGCGAAGGCGGGUCUCG